GUGGAUACUGCCGAGAGGGCGUACAGUACUCUGGGGCUCACAACAUGACAAGAACCAUCAUCACUGGUAUUGUGGGACACUUGCUCUUUGGACACUCCAUCUUGAAAUCGAUCUACUAUGCCAUGGGAAGCCCAAGCCACACAGAGAGGAAGAAUAACAUAGUAUUUGAGAGAAGAAGCCUUGAAGUCAGACUCCCUGGGUUCUAGUUUGGGCUCUACCACAUAGUUGGCCUUGGGU